GAUGAACGCUGGCGGCGUGCCUAAUACAUGCAAGUCGAGCGAACGGACGAGAAGCUUGCUUCUCUGAUGUUAGCGGCGGACGGGUGAGUAACACGUGGAUAACCUACCUAUAAGACUGGGAUAACUUCGGGAAACCGGAGCUAAUACCGGAUAAUAUUUUGAACCGCAUGGUUCAAAAGUGGAAGACGGUCUUGCUGUCACUUAUAGAUGGAUCCGCGCUGCAUUAGCUAGUUGGUAAGGUAACGGCUUACCAAGGCAACGAUGCAUAGCCGACCUGAGAGGGUGAUCGGCCACACUGGAGCUGAGACACGGUCCAGACUCCUACGGGAGGCAGCAGUAGGGAAUCUUCCGCAAUGGGCGAAAGCCUGACGGAGCAACGCCGCGUGAGUGAUGAAGGUCUUCGGAUCGUAAAACUCUGUUAUUAGGGAAGAACAUAUGUGUAAGUAACUGUGCACAUCUUGACGGUACCUAAUCAGAAAGCCACGGCUAACUACGUG
rnacentral:rRNA from 1 species